GCUAAGGCCCCAAAAUAAUGGCUCAGUGGCAAAAGAAGUGAGAAAGCCGAGACAACCAAGAUAUUCGCUUAGAGGUAGCAAAAAUUUAAAGAGUGUGUAAUAACUCACUGGUAGAGCUUUCUUGCGCUGAAGAUGAACGGGACUAAGCCAUUUGCCGAAGCGAUGGGUCAACUUGAAAAUGUUUUCGGUAGAGGAGCGUUCCGUUUUAGGGAGAAGCAGGCGUGCAAACGUCGACCUGUCGACAAACCGGAAGUGAGAAUGUUGACUUGAGUAACGAAAACGGUGGUGUGAAUCCAUCGCUCCGAAAACCUAAGGGUUCCGCCGCAAGGCUCGUCCACGGUGGGUUAGUCAGUACCUAAGGCCAGCCCGGGCGUUCCGGGGUCGUCGAUGGUCAGUGGGUUAAUACUCCCACACUCAUCUUAAAUUUACGGAGGGACGAAGAAAACAAAAGGCGUCAUCGCGCCGUGAUCCGUGACGAACGGGUGUAGAAAAACGCUCGGGAGCGGGGCACGCGUACCUGGUGAUCCAGGGCCAAACUAAAUACUUCCCAGAAAAGCUCUCGAUGGCAUCGUUUAAGUUGAACUGUACCCUAAACCGACACAGGUAGGUAGGUAGAG
rnacentral:rRNA from 1 species